UCCUAAUGAUUGAGGUCACCUAGAGGCAACAGCUCGCUGAUCCAAAAUCUGCAUUGGUGUUCAGCUCUCUUGCUGGUGUGAGAAAUCAAAGGGAGACCUGGGAAAAAUGCCAACGGAUAAAAAAAAAGAAAAAGAAAAAAAAAGUGACAUUCUCUGAAAUAUCCACCCUCCUCGCUCAUUGAUUCAUUUAGCUUAACUCCCUCAAACCCCUCCCACUGAGGAGGGCUGAUAUUAUCCCCGAUGGAGGGAGAGGACGAAUUGAGGGAAGGAUGGAGGGAGACGCGGAGGAAAGCAGGCAGAAUAAAGAUGUCGAAGAAGACAGAGUUUUACCUUUGAGGAUCUUUUCUGCUGAAGCAACAUGGAUGCUGUCCUUGGGGCUGAGGUAGUAGAUUGAAUAGUUGUGGGGUUCUGUAACCUCUUUUUGAGAUAACUAUACAAUCUACUGUCUUUCCCAAGGAGACAGCUGAGUCAGCCACUCGCCGACUGUCAUCUCCAGAUGGGCAAACAUGCUGUCCAAUCAAAACAUAUGCUUGCAGCAAAUGAAAAUAAUGCAUUGUGACAGGCAUUGUUUGUUAUGUUUUGUUAUGUUUGCUAGAGCGGAAAAAUUAGGUGUCAUGCUCCCUAACAGGUGAACUUGUGGUUGGUGUGCUUGAUUUGGGCUCUGUCA